rnacentral:rRNA from 1 species
AGCUCCAAUAGCGUAUAUUAAAGUUGUUGCAGUUAAAAAGCUCGUAGUCUGAACCUUGGUCAGUGUUGAACGUCCGUGGCCAUUUUCUUGUGGUCGCGAGCACGUGAAACAGUGGCCAUGUACUUCGGAGGAACGUGUGCGCUUUUAACUAAGUGUGCACGGGAUUCCGAUAGUUUACUUUGAGAAAAAUAGAGUGUUCAAAGCAGGCGUGCUUGCCUUGAAUACAUUAGCAUGGGAUAAUGAAAUAGGACAUUGGUUCUAUUUGAUGGUUUUUCUAAGGACCGAUGUAAUGAUUAAUAGGGACAGUUGGGGACAUUCAUAUUCCAUGGCUAGAGGUGAAAUUCUUGGAUUCAUGGAAGAUGAACUACUGCGAAAGCAUUUGUCAAAGAUGUUUUCA